UACGGAGGGUGCAAGCGUUAUCCGGAUUCACUGGGUUUAAAGGGUGCGUAGGCGGGUUGGUAAGUCCGUGGUGAAAUCCCAAGCUUAACUUGGGAACUGCCGUGGAUACUAUCAAUCUUGAAUAUCGUGGAGGUAAGCGGAAUAUGUCAUGUAGCGGUGAAAUGCUUAGAUAUGACAUAGAACACCAAUUGCGUAGGCAGCUUACUACACGAUCAUUGACGCUGAGGCACGAAAGCGUGGGGAGCAAACAGG
rnacentral:rRNA from 1 species